ensembl:rRNA 5S_rRNA 5S ribosomal RNA
GUCUAUAGCCAUACUACCCUGAAUGGAUGGACUCAAUCUUAUCUGAUCUCAGAAACAAAGUGGGGGUCAGGAUAGUACUUAGAUGGGAGACCACCUGUGAAUACCUGGUGCUGUAAGCU